rnacentral:rRNA from 1 species
UACGUAGAGUAGCAAGACGGUUGUCCGGAAUUAAGUUGGGCGUAAAGGGUACGCAGGCGGACUAGGUAAAGUCAAGCGUGAAAGGUGUCGGCUUAACCGACAGACUGCGUUUGAAACUGAUUAUACUUGAGUGUAACAGAGGAGAGUGGGAAUUCCUAGUGUAGUGGUGAAAUACGUAGAUAUUAGGAAGAACACCAGUGGGCGAAGGCGACUCUCUGGGUUAACACUUGACGCUGAGGUACGAAAGCUGGGGGAGCAAACGGGAUUAGAUACCCGCGUAGU